AAAAAGAGAAGGAGGAGGAGGAAGACGGAAUGUAUACUUUUGAGAUGAUGGAUAUACAUUGUGGGAUGGAGUAUAAAAAUUGUUUGGUACGUGCAAUCAUAGCUGGGCUCCGUCCCUGCUCAAACGAUUG
ensembl:ncRNA F46G11.13 ncRNA